rnacentral:lncRNA from 1 species
AGAUAAUCCUCUAUUCAGUGUUUCACUUCACUGAAAAGCCUUGCUUGUUUAGGUCAAGGGGACUGGGAUUCUGCAGUAAGCUUCCAGAAUCACCUUUUGAUCACUUUUUGUCGCUGCAUCCAACCAGCUCCACAAUAUCAAGGAAUGUUUUUGGCUUCGGUAGCAACACGACUGGGCAGCAGGUCCCAGAUUUGAAAACAAGAAGAAGCUAUUUGUAUUGCCAUGUCUUCUCUGUGCUUCCACUGGGAGCUGCUUAAGAGACUUUGGCAUGCCGUCACAAAUGGUUUGGCCAAACACGGGCCAGCCUGGAAAAUGCUGAGGGUGACUCCCUGUCUCUUGGCCUCAUCAGGUGUCUCUGCAGGGAGGAUGCUGCAUGAGGUGUGGGCUCAGCACUAGUCUCACCAGGGCUUGCAGUACUGAAGGACACCUCACAGGGACUCUGUUAGCAGGAGCUCAUACCAGGUACCACCACACAGAGCUGCAGUGUACACACAUAAAUAAAAAAGAAGGUUGUGCCAAAAUUCUUCAUGAACAGUUUGCAUUAUUUAAUGACAGUUUCUCCAAAUCAGAAAGAACUGAGCCAACUUAUGAGAUAAUAAAAAGCAGCCCCUACCUUCAGGGCACCCUGAGAAGGGUGGGGAUGAAGGAUAUUGCCAUGCAAAAUGUCCCAACAAAGACCAGCUUCUUGUUUGGAGCUGCAGGCUGGGAGGAGCAGUGCAUGGCCAGGUCCCUGCUGUUGCCCUUGCCUGCCUGCAGGAAAGUGUGUGGCUGCUGCUGACAAGGAAGAGUUGUGAGUAUCUGGGAUGACAGCUACUGCUACAGAAAAGGGGUAAAUGACCUCCCCUCACAUCAGUCGUUGCUGCCCUAUCUCUCCAGCCCUGCUGCAGGAGUGGCAAGCCCUAGGAAAGUUCUAAGCACCCACUGGUACCAGGUAAGCCAAGAUCCUCUGACUUUUAUGUGAGUAGUGCUCAAAGAGAAGCCUCAGAGCAUAAGCUAAUAGGCAGCAGUUCUUUUAGUGAAACCUUUAUGUUAAUAAAAUACAGACUACUUAUGGAAUUUCCCUUCUC